GGGCCUGUAGCUCAAUGGUUAGAGCCGGCCGCUCAUAACGGCUUGGUUGGGGGUUCGAGUCCCUCCGGGCCCACCA
rnacentral:tRNA from 1 species